rnacentral:rRNA from 1 species
AUUGUUAGUUGCCAUCAUUCAGUUGGGCACUCUAGCGAGACUGGCCGGUAAUAAACCCGGAGGAAGGUGGGGAUGACGUCAAAUCAUCAUGCCCCUUAUGACCUGGGCUACACACGUGCUACAAUGGUUGGUACAACGAGUUGCGAGUCGGUGACGGCGAGCUAAUCUCUUAAAGCCAAUCUCAGUUCGGAUUGUAGGCUGCAACUCGCCUACAUGAAGUCGGAAUCGCUAGUAAUCGCGGAUCAGCACGCCCGCGGUCGAAUACGUUCCGGCCUU